UACAGAGGGUGCAAGCGUUAAUCGGAAUUACUGGGCGUAAAGCGCGCGUAGGUGGUUUGUUAAGUUGGAUGUGAAAGCCCCGGGCUCAACCUGGGAACUGCAUUUGUGACUGCACAGCUUGAGUGCGGCAGAGGGGGAUGGAAUUCCGCGUGUAGCAGUGAAAUGCGUAGAUAUGCGGAGGAACACCGAUGGCGAAGGCAAUCCCCUGGGCCUGCACUGACGCUCAUGCACGAAAGCGUGGGGAGCAAACAGG
rnacentral:rRNA from 1 species